rnacentral:lncRNA from 1 species
CAACGGUCUUGAUGUCUGCAGGAAAUCUAAAGGUCCUCAUGAGGAAAUGAAUAAAGUCAGGAUUUGAGGAGAUCUGCCGAUGCCAAUGAGUUUCACAUGAACUCCCUCGAGUCAAUAAAGGGUUGGUGAAUCCUCUACUGACUGAGAAACGGUUCCUGAAGCCCCAGUGCUCGCUGGCUCCGCCUCCCCAGCGUGGACGCUCGGGGGAGGCCUGCUCCUGUUUCACCGGCAUGUGUCACCUCCACCAGCGCCGGAUAUCUACAGGUAACACUCAACGCCAUCUCCACAUCCCAUCGCCAUCUGCCCCGUCAUGGCAGACUCAGCACCUGGGAAGACACCUGUAUGAAAUAAGUAUGAGCUAAAAUUUGCCAGUGGAUAGAAAGAGUAUACAGUUAUAGUAUACUCUACAGUAUACUGCAUUAUACAGUACAUUUGAUCCACUGUAUAACAAUUUUAAUUUGAUGAUAUGGACCUAUAAAAAUGGCUUUGAUAUGCUAAUACAACCCCAGGUAGUAGGAGCAUUUACUGUUACUCAUUUUACUGUCUGAACAUGUCAUGCCAAAGUAGUAUAUCCACAAAGCAAGAAGCUGCUUGUUCCUUACCACAGCUACAAGCACACACACAGCCUGGGGUAAAGAGCUGUCAGAGCCGUAAGGCUUCUUCCUAGGCAGCGAUGGCUCAGUCAGUCAGCCUGAUUAAUGUAGUCUCUGCAUGUGGAGGCCCGGUGAUUGACAUUUUAACAGGGGUGCUAUGAAACAGGCCUCUGUUCUCAUCACCUCUGUUUUCCCUGCUAGGGCAGCUGGGUCAGGUGAUGUCAGCAUAG